GUUUAAAUCUCUAGAGAAGAUUCCAGCUCCGAAGAGCAUAAUCGCUGCAACAAUCACCGCAAGUCCAACCCCCAUAACCAAACUCAUCUGCAUUUCCAAUCCCCAACUAAUCCCUUUUAGUGUUUCAAUCUUCUUCUUUGUUUUUCCCCAUUUACAUUUUAUCUUCUUCCGAAUUUAUAUUACACUAGGGAAUUCCAAGUUCUUUACCUGUAGUACCCUUGUGGCUGUAGCCGUUGUCUUCUCGUAAUCUUUCUCUGCAAAUGCACACGCUAGGAUCGCCUGAACCAAAAAUUCAACACCCAUAAAGUAGAAAUUUGAGAGGAAUUGGCGUUACUAGAGAGAUUGAUUAUACGGCAUCGUUACUAGAUAAACAUGGGUUUCGUCCCCAAACGCGAAAUCAAUUGGUUACUGGAGGAGUGGCUCGUAUAUCGUUUAAAGAUUGUGAGGUCCUCGUGUUUUUUCAAUGGUUUCACGUAACUACCUGUCCGGCAACUGCGAGGCCAUCAGCAAGGAGGGAUGAUGUCAUCCAGACCUGCAAGCAAGUCUGGAAGGCAGCCAUUGGCGUUGGACCUAGCCGAGCAGCCAUGGAUGCAGCAAGUGUCACGCAGAAGGUGCUAAUCUCUGUUGUAGAAGAAGAGGAGAAUAUGGGCAUGAAUGUUACCAUUUUUGAGAAACCGACCAAACUGCAAAUCUCUAAGGCUUGGAGGUAAGAGAUCAACUUUUUGCAUCAAUCUCCAAGCAAGGAC